CAGCUCUCCGAGUAGUGUGGACGUUUAUUGGGCCUAAGGCAUCCGUAGCUUGCUAGAUAAGUCCUCUGUUAAAUCCACCGAUUCAAUCGUUGGAUUGCGGGGGAUACUGUUUGGCUAGGGGACGGGAGAGGUCGACGGUAUUUCCGGGGUAGGGGUGAAAUCCUAUAAUCCCGGGAGGACCACCAGUGGCGAAGGCUGUCGACUAGAACGCGCCCGACGGUGAGGGAUGAAAGCUGGGGGAGCGAACCGGAUUAGAUACCCGAGUAGUCC
rnacentral:rRNA from 1 species